rnacentral:rRNA from 1 species
AUUGAACGCUGGCGGCAGGCCUAACACAUGCAAGUCGCGCGAGAGGCGUACGGGUGAGUAAUGUAUGGGGAUCUGACCGAUAGAGGGGGAUAACUACUGGACACGGUGGCUAAUACCGCAUUUCAUCGGAUGAACCCAUAUGGGAUUAUGUAGUAGGUGGGGUAAAGGGUCACCUAGGCGACGAUCUCUAGCGGGUCUGCGAGGAUGAUCAGCCAAACUGGGACUGGGACACGGCCCAGACUCCUACGGGGGGCAGCAGUGGGGAAUAUUGCACAAUAGGCGCAAGCCUGAUGCAGCCAUGCCGCGGGUAGGAAGGAGGCCUUAGGGUUGUAAAGUACUUUCAGCGGGGAGGCGUUACCCGCAGGAGAAGCACCGGCUAACUCCGGGCCAGCAGGCGGGGGAAUUC